GCGAGCUAUAAGAAUCCAUCUUGUCGUGCGGAUAAUUCCGAAGUCGUGAUGCAUCCUUCAAUUCUAAGUCAUGGUGCCCUACCAGAAAUAAUCAGAUGCAGCACAUGCUGCCGUCUAUAUCAUUGCCCGCUUUGUCCUAACUUUAGGCCAGCGAAGCUGAACAGACUAAAGAUCCACCUGGAUGUGCAUAUAAAAAAUGCAGUGUUUUUCCAAAACUUAAGAAUUUGCAGAUGCACGCUACCUUGUAGAAAGGAUGGUCAUUUCCACUGCCCUAGGUGCAGUGAGACAGUGAUUAAAAGAAACACUUUUGU